rnacentral:misc_RNA from 1 species
GAUGAAGAACGUAGCGAAAUGCGAUAAGUAAUGUGAAUUGCAGAAUUCAGUGAAUCAUCGAAUCUUUGAACGCACAUUGCGCCCCCCAGUAUUCUGGCGGGCAUGCCUGUUCGAGCGUCAUUUCAACCAUCAAGCCCUGCUUGUGUUGGGGUCCUGCGGCUGCCCGCAGGCCCUGAAAACCAGUGGCGGGCUCGCUAGUCACACCGAGCGCAGUAGCACAUCUCGCUCAGGGCGUGCGGCGGGCUCCAGCCGUUAAAGCACCCACCUUUCGCAAGGUUGACCUCGGAUCAGGUAGGAAUACCCGCUGAACUUAAGAAUAUCAAUAAGCGGAGGA